GCCUGGCUGGCUUAGUUGGUAGAGCAUGAAACUCUUGAUCUCAGGGUUGUGAGUUCAAGCCUCAUGUUGGGUG